GUGGGGAAUCUUCCGCAAUGGACGAAAGUCUGACGGAGCAACGCCGCGUGAGUGAUGAAGGUCUUCGGAUUGUAAAGCUCUGUUAAUCGGGACGAAAGAGCCUAGUGUGAAUAAUGCUAGGAAGUGACGGUACCGGAAUAGAAAGCCACGGCUAACUACGUGCCAGCAGCCGCGGUAAUACGUAGGUGGCAAGCGUUGUCCGGAAUUAUUGGGCGUAACGCGCGCGCAGGCGGAUCAGCCAGUCUGUCUUAAAAGUUCGGGGCUUAACCCCAUGAUGGGAUGGAAACUAAAGAUCUAGAGUAUCGGAGAGGAAAGUAGAAUUACUAGUGUAGCGGUGAAAUGCGUAGAUAUUAGGAAGAACACCAGUGGCGAAGGCGACUUUCUGGACGAAAACUGACGCUGAGGCGCGAAAGCCAGGGGAGCGAACGGGAUUAGAUACCCGUGUAGUCC
rnacentral:rRNA from 1 species